rnacentral:rRNA from 1 species
UACAGGGGGGGCAAGCGUUGUUCGGAAUUACUGGGCGUAAAGGGUUCGUAGGUGGCCAGCUUAGUCAGACGUGAAAUCCCUCAGCUUAACUGGGGAACUGCGUCUGAUACUGGAUGGCUUGAGUGCAGGAGAGGAACGCGGAAUUCCAGGUGUAGCGGUGAAAUGCGUAGAUAUCUGGAGGAACACCGGUGGCGAAGGCGGCGUUCUGGACUGCAACUGACACUGAGGAACGAAAGCCAGGGGAGCAAACGGG